UUGUGCUGAGGUAGUUGUUUGUACAGUUUGUGGGUCUGUGAUUCUGCCCGGUUUAGGAGCUAACUGUACAGGCCACUGCCUUGCCCAG
rfam:Scleropages formosus scaffold589, whole genome shotgun sequence.